GGUGAAAGCCAGCAGCUGUUUUAAUCAGCUCUGUGCCCACCUGGAUGCCAGCUGUGGUCCUUAACUAUAAGAGUAACAGCAGCAGGCUUGGGUCUUCCUUAGAGGCCCCCCAGCAUGCCAAGGACACUGAUGCCCUGUGCAGACCCAAGCAAUGAAGCUGAUGGUGCUGGCAUCAUGUCUGUAACUCCUGGCUGAGCCAGAGACUAUCCUUUAGGAAGGUGCUUUAAGUGCUUGCAGCUCUUGAAGGAACGAGGAAGAUGUUGGAUCCCUUGAUGAUUUGGAUGCUGGAAGAUGCCUCCCUGCUGUCCCCUUUGCAAACUCUUCAGAAGGAAAGGAGAACCAUGACUGUCAGACAAAGAACAGACGCAAGGGUCGUGUUGAUAAAGACAUAAGGGUCUCUUCCUCUCCCCCGCUGCAGUGAUUUAUGAGCAGCCGCUAGCUUUCCCGGCCCUGCUGCAGCAGGUUUCCCAGGAAAGAGCCUGUUCUCGGUCUCCCACAGGCUGAAAUGAUGGUGUCAGUGUUGCUUGUGGACAAACAGGGGCCUCGCGAGACUGUUCGCCUUCAUAAAUCAUCCGAAGUGGGACUCAGCAGCCAGCACCAGUCCGCCCAAGCUGCAGGUGCCCGGAGCACGAAGGCAGCUGAGGAAGGGUCAGCUCCCUGCCCAGCGCUGGGAGGACGAGAGCCUCGGCACAUCCUCCUGUGCAGUGACAAUACCUUAUGAGUUUUGAUCAUCUGCUGACUGGUCUUGCUCCACACUAACAGGUGCAAUUCAGCCUUCAUAGAAAGUUAGGCACCCUGCCAGUCCUAAAACUCAGCUGCAUCCUUCACUUACGUUCUGAUGCUGAGGACUGGUGACACGCCAAAACUUCACAAAACGCCCCGUCUGCCAAGAAAUGCUGCUGCGUGGCACAAGUAGCAAUCCCUCGCCAUUGAGAUCUGCUGCACUGUUUGGAGGAAAACAAGAAAAAUUUAGGCCCCUAUAGAAGUGAGACUAUUGAGGAAUUAAUGAAAUCUCUCAGUUUGGAGACUCGCAGAUGCUCUUCUAUUGGGAGUGUGCCGAGCCUGUCAUAAAACCCCUUUGGAUAAGAUGCAGUAAACAUCUGGUACCUUUUUUUUUUUUUUUAAAUAAAAACUAUAAUUGUUUUAGGCCUUGUUGUCUGCACAUGCUGGUGAUGUGCCUGUGAGGUCUAAUUAGUUGACAAGAGACAAAAGAGGCCACUGCAGUGAAAGGGAGGCUGGGUGCCAGGAUCGUUAGAUAGGUUAGGCAGGAGCCACAGGAGCCAGCAGGUGAUGAUGCAGGAAGGUGUAUCAUCCCCAGCUGUUAUAGAUGUGGGGACACGAGGAAACGAGGCAAAUUGAUAAGCCAAGGGUUCAGUAUUUUGCUAGUUCCUCUUACUCAAAACUGGAUCUUCAAUUUUCUGGGAAUAGAUACAGCAGGUCCCUCUCUGAUUUUAUAACCCAGGCUAUGGGAUGAGAUCAUUAGCCAAGGAGAGCACAAGCUGACUGUCCGCUCUGCUUGGGUCUUCCCUGGAUAACAUCCUUGAAAUGUUGCUUUUUUCCUGAAGCUGUGCAUAACUCCCUAAGGUUUUCCCAGGUAGCUUCCUCUUCAUGUGUCUUGGCUCCUUUUGAAUGGUUAACUUGGGGGGGAAAAUGAUGAGUCCUAGGGAUAAAGCAAUGGUGAAUAGUGUCCUUUGGAUUGUGUUUCCUAGCACUCCUGGGAAGCAUGCAAUACAUUUUCCUGGUGUUCCUGUGCAAAUUCACAGGUAGAUUAAGAGAUGUCAUAGCUAUUAGUCUCAGACCUACAGAAACAUCACGGCUAGGCUCCCCAGCCACGCUGCAGGAGUGAAGUUCAUUUCUGCUGGAGCCAUCCUGAAUCACAGCUGCUGACGAGAAGGAGGUGCAUAAGGGGGAUCAUCAGAAGUCCAGAUGAGAUCACCACAAUAUGUGCCAUCAAACUGGAAGUCAAUAGCUACAUUCGCUUCCCAAAUAUUCAAUAGUUUCCUCCCUUUCUUCCACUGCUCUACAGGGACAUGCUACGGACGGUAAGGAAAAUACCAGCAGAGACAGCAAAACAGCGCUUUCCUCUUCUGUAAAUCAGGAGUAACACUACUAAAGCGAAGAGAGUGACACCAGGAUAAAACUUUGUAAAUUAAAAGAGGACAAGUCCAUUCACAUUUUCUCUUGUCCAAGGCACCAUGAAACGAACAUUUGGAAUUUACAAUGCUGCUAACCUUAAAACUGUGUCCAAUAUUUUAAUAUAUAUAUAUAUAUAUACACACACAUACACACACUCCCAAGUUCAUGUUUUGGCAGCCAGUUAAGUGGCUUGAUUUACAAAUGACUGAGCCAGCUGGGGUCUCCAGAGGUAUCUAUCAAGUUGCAGUAGGAGCUGUCGAGUGCUGAGAAUUUUGUUUAAAAAAAUGCAACUUGCCUUCGACUUCUAAUCUAAACCCCAGUGAAACCAGUGGAAAUAGUUCCAUUGAUGUCUGGGGGCCCUGGGCCCAGACAUUAACGUAGGGUCAUAUUUCUGUCUUGCCUUCUGAAACACGCAGAGAGCAACCUGGAGUCAUCUGUCUGGAGAAACAUGACUUGAAUGAAACCAGUCCCGAGUUUGGUUUUAGCAUGAUAAAUGGCGACAGAAGACACGGUUGAAUUUCCACAUGUAGCAACCCCCCAAAAUUGCUCCAGAACUUGUUUUAGUUUAUCCCCGCUGAACAAAAUAAACAAUAUUUAGUAAAUCUC